GGUGCAUUGCCGUAAUGGUAGCGGAGUGGCUUGCUAAGCCAUCCGGCAGAAAUGCCGUAUAGGUUCGAUUCCUAUAUGCACCGCUA
rnacentral:tRNA from 1 species